rnacentral:rRNA from 1 species
GACGAACGCUGGCGGUGUGCUUAACACAUGCAAGUCGAACGGUAAGGCCCUUUCGGGGGUACACGAGUGGCGAACGGGUGAGUAACACGUGAGUAACCUGCCCUCAUCUCUGGGAUAACAGUCGGAAACGGUUGCUAAUACUGGAUAUGAGCUUGCAAGGCAUCUUGUGGGUUGGAAAGAUUUUUUUGGUUGGGGAUGGACUCGCGGCCUAUCAGCUUGUUGGUGAGGUAGUGGCUCACCAAGGCUUCGACGGGUAGCCGGCCUGAGAGGGCGACCGGCCACAUUGGGACUGAGAUACGGCCCAAACUCCUACGGGAGGCAGCAGUGGGGAAUAUUGCACAAUGGACGGAAGUCUGAUGCAGCAACGCCGCGUGCGGGAUGACGGCCUUCGGGUUGUAAACCGCUUUCAAUUGUGACGAAGCUUUUUGUGACGGUAGCGGUAGAAGAAGCACCGGCUAACUACGUG